AAGAGUCGAGUUGUUUGGGAAUGCAGCUCAAAAUGGGUGGUAANNUCCAUCUAAAGCUAAAUAUAGGCGAGAGACCGAUAGCGAACAAGUACCGUGAGGGAAAGAUGAAAAGCACUUUGGAAAGAGAGUUAAACAGUACGUGAAAUUGCUGAAAGGGAAACGCUUGAAGUCAGUCACGUCUGCCAGGACUCAGCCUUGCUUCUGCUUGGUGUACUUUCUGGUUUGAUGGGCCAACAUCAAUUUUGACCGUUGGAGAAAGGCAUUGGGAACGUGGCACCUUCGGGUGUGUUAUAGCCCUUUGUUGUAUACAACGGUUGGGAUUGAGGACUGCAGCACGCCUUCAUGGCCGGGGUUCGCCCACGUACGUGC
rnacentral:rRNA from 1 species